CUGGCUCAGAACGAACGCUGGCGGCGUGCCUAACACAUGCAAGUCCAACGUGAAAGGGGAGCAAUCCCCCGGUAGGGUGGCAAACGGGUGAGUAAUACAUGGGUGAUCUACCUUAGGGAUGGGGAUAUCCUUCCGAAAGGAGGGGCAAUACCGAAUAUUGUCCGGAGCCGUGAAGGGUUCCGGGGAAAGGGAGGCCUCUGAUACAAGCUUUCGCCUUAAGAUGAGCCCAUGGCCCAUCAGCUAGUUGGUAGGGUAAAGGCCUACCAAGGCUACGACGGGUCGCUGGUCUGAGAGGACGACCAGCCACACUGGCACUGAGAUACGGGCCAGACUCCUACGGGAGGCAGCAGUGAGGAAUAUUGCGCAAUGGGGGAAACCCUGACGCAGCAACGCCGCGUGUGGGAAGAAGGCCUUCGGGUCGUAAACCACUUUUGCACGGGACGAAAAAGGGA
rnacentral:rRNA from 1 species